rnacentral:lncRNA from 1 species
CGCCGCGGCGCCCCCGGAGCGGAAGUGAGGUCGGUGGCUUCGGUGGCUGCGCAGCGUCGGGGAGCGCGGGCUGCGGCGAGGCGGGCCGGCCAAGCGCAGCGGGCGGGAGAGCGGCCCCGGGAGGCGGCAAAGUCGCGGGGCGAGCGGCUCGGCCCCCCCCAUCGGAGGAGCUCAGCGGCGCCGCUCCUCGCCUCGCCCCGCGCCCGCUCGGACCGGUGUGCGCCGGUCACCUAGGCCCAGGCCGUCGCGCGCGACGCGUUCUUGAAAUCAUGAAUCCUGUUUAUAGCCCUGGGUCUUCUGGGGUUCCUUAUGCAAAUGCCAAAGGAAUCGGUUAUCCUGGUAAGCAAGUAGAAUUUUGUUUUCAUUAUUGAACUUUGAACAUUUGGUAUAUUUCCAUGUCAGUAAAAACACAGAAGAUGAACCCAACUCAAAGUGGCUUAGAUAAGGAAGAGGAUACGUGGAAGUGGGAAAAAAAAAAAAUCAAGGAACAAGAUUAGCUUUGGUCAGAGCUUGACCUGGUGGCUCCAACAGUAGGGACUAGGAUGUAGUUUUUGUACCUCCUGGCCUCAACUUCACUUCCUCAGUAUUGACUUAGUGUUGCUCACUGGUUCUGUUCUUCCCCAUUAUGGCCUGUGAGGUUCAGCCCCUCCAAGCAGUCCUUGACUAGAGCCUCUGUAUCUCUGCCCUUCAGGAAAGCCCAACAGGGCUUCAUGUUCCCUAUUCACACCAGUCCUGAAGUCUGUCCUGAUUGAACCCUGCUUCCAUCCUCUUGGGCCAUGGAGGAAUCCUAUUGAGUAACUUAGGUCAGAGCCACAUUCCUCCAGUGGAAUUAUGAGGGAGGCUAAAAAUCAAAAAUUACUGGGAGAAUUUGUUGGUCAGAAAUAGCGAAUGGUUGUCCUAAUUGAUAUCUUUGAGCAAGGUGAGUUUUGAUAAUAUGGUAAUAUGAUAACAGAGAAAACU